GAUGAACGCUGGCGGCGUGCCUAAUACAUGCAAGUCGAGCGAACGGACGAGAAGCUUGCUUCUCUGAUGUUAGCGGCGGACGGGUGAGUAACACGUGGAUAACCUACCUAUAAGACUGGGAUAAUUACGGGAAACCGGAGCUAAUACCGGAUAAUAUUUUGAACCGCAUGGUUCAAAAGGGAAAGAGGGCUUUGCCGUCACUAUUAGAUGGUGCCGCGUUGCAUUAGCUAGUUGGUAAGGUAACGGCUUACUAAGGCAACGAUGCAUAGCCGACCUGAGAGGGUGAUCGGCCACACUGGAACUGAGACACGGUCCAGACUCCUACGGGAGGCAGCAGUAGGGAAUCUUCCGCAAUGGGCGAAAGCCUGACGGAGCAACGCCGCGUGAGUGAUGAAGGUCUUCGGAUCGUAAAACUCUGUUAUUAGGGAAGAACAUAUGUGUAAGUAACUGUGCACAUCUUGACGGUACCUAAUCAGAAAGCCACGGCUAACUACGUG
rnacentral:rRNA from 1 species